UACGUAGGGGUGCAAGCGUUAAUCGGAAUUACUGGGCGUAAAGCGUGCGCAGGCGGUUCUAUAAGACAGAUGUGAAAUCCCCGGGCUCAACCUGGGAACUGCAUUGUGACUGUAGAGCUGGAGUACGGCAGAGGGGGAUGGAAUUCCGGCGUGUAGCAGUGAAAUGCGUAGAUAUGCGGAGGAACACCGAUGGCGAAGGCAAUCCCCUGGGCCUGUACUGACGCUCAUGCACGAAAGCGUGGGGAGCAAACAGG
rnacentral:rRNA from 1 species